rnacentral:tRNA from 1 species
CAGGUUGUAGUUUAUUAAAACCUUAGCUUUGGGAGCUAAAAUUCAGGGCUCCUCCUGCAACCUGA